UAUCGAUAUUCCUUGUCAGAAAUAUAUUUUUCUGAUGAAGAAUGCAAGUGCUUUGGCCUGCACAGUGCUUUCUUCUGCUUUUGCUGCCAAGUAAAGGCAGGCUGGAGCCACUAGGCGUGGAUCAUACUCUGACAUACUCUUUCUGGAAUCGAAAAGG